GUGAUUGGCUGUCCCCGCUGUCACUCCUUCUGCUUGUAAAAGUUAGCCUACAUGCUAGUUGUUAGCGACCGCACGAGAGGCAGUGCAACUGUCAGUGUGUGCUGUAGGUUUUGAAGGAUGUCAAUGAAAAGAAAACUGGAUAUAAGAGACUUCUUUAGGAGUCAAGCUGUGCAUGUAACCUACCUGGUGCUUAGGAGGAGGAGACGCAGCCUUACACAGGUUUUCCAUCGCGCUCAUCACUGCUGGAUUAGUAGGCAGAAGGAGGAGUCAGAAAAAAGGCGGUAAAACCAAACGUGUAUUUUUACUUUGUCUUAUACAAAAUGUAAAAAAAAAAACAUACCAGUAUUUUCUGCUUGUAUCCUCUUUAAAGAAGAUGUGGCGGAUUCCUUAACAAAAGGAGGGGAUUGAAGAGUUAACGUCUGAGUCCGAAAUUGUCAUAAGCAGUUUAAAAAAUGUGGGCGUGUCUUUGACUCGAUAUCACCACGAACGUCGAUACUGUGAGGCAAAGCAACCUCCUGCUAGGUGGCUAAUGUUAAAACAAAAACCUGAAGAAUAUUUUUUUUAAUAAAGUUGACGGAUUCACCCAAAGUAUACCAUCUUUUACCUACCAUUCUGUACGUCUGGCUGGUAACGUCGCAAAGAUUGUUUUUUUAGGCAUAUUCUAUGUUUUUGGACCUAAUGAAGCGUUCUCAAGCAUAAAAAUGGCUUAUUGUACUAAUAUAAAUACCACAUUAGUAUUGAUGAAACCAAACCAAUCAGAGUGCGCUGUUCAAUAUAUUGGCCACUGAUUGGCUCAGCUCUGGCAGCAUUAUCAGGAGUGUGUAAAGGUGAAUAUAUGGGUGUUAUUUCAUGUCUAAAUGGCUCCAAUAUUGUUAAAAAUGUAUUUUUAUAGGCCGUAAACAGGUUUUUUUGCUCUAACAGAGUUGCCAUACAACAUAUGAUAUCGUUAUAUCGAUAGGAUACCGACGACAGAGCUUGAUACUGUAUUUGUCAUAUUGUAAUAAUGCAUGUUGAUGACGCAUUUUGUGUCCUAAUCGAUUCACAUCCGAGUAGCAAUUCUUAUUCAAUCCUGAUUGUAAAAAAUUAUUAAUAAUUUUCAAAUCUCACUCUCUCUCUCUCUCACACACACACACACACACACACACACACACACACAUUUACAUACACUUGUAAAGAACAUGAUGUCAUGGCUGUUUUGAGUUUCCAAUAAUUUCUACAACUCUUAUUUUUUGUGAUAGAGUGAUGGAAGCACAUACUUGUUGGUCACAAAAAACAUUCAUGAAGAUUGGUUAUUUCAUGAAUUUAUUAUGGGUAUACUGGAAAUGUGACCAAAUCUGCUGGGUCAAAAGUAUAUAUACAGCAAUGUUAAUAUUUGGUUACAUGUCCCUUGGCAAGUUUCACUGCAGUAAGGCGCUUUUGGUAGCAAUCCACAAGCUUCUGGUUUUAUUUUUGACCACUCCUCUUGACAAAAUUGGUGCAGUUCAGCUAAAUUUGUUGGUUUUCUGACAUUGACUUGUUUCUUCAGCAUGGUCAAAUACGUUUAAGUUCGGACUUUGGGAAGGCCAUUCUUAAACCUUAAUUCUGAAUCGUAUAGUCACCUAAGGAAUCGGAAUGAAUCGUUGGGUGCCCUAGUAUGCACACCCCUACCAACGACCGAACCGACGCUUCUGAGUCACUAAUCCUCGCCUCCAUGGCAGCCAAUAAACUGAGUUUCUCACAUGUCUCAUUAUCACUGGAGGAUGAGGCCUAGCUGAAUAUGCUACACAACUAGGAAUGUCACGAUAUGAAGAUUUAGUAUCACGGUUAUUGCAUACUUGCCAAUCCUCCCGGACUUUUCGGGAGACUUCCGAAUUUCAGUGCCUCUCCCGAAAAUCUCCCAGGACAACCAUUAUCUCAAAUUUCUACCGAUUUCCAGCCGGACCUGAGUGAGGACAGCCUGUCGUCACGUCUGCUUUUCGUCCUUAUAAACAGCGUGCCGGCCCCGUCACGUUAUAACAUCUACGACUUUUGGAGCUCAGUGUGCAACUGCACACACAACAAGGAGACUAUUAUAUACAUCUCCGUUUUCCAUAGGUUUAUCUAUAACCGAUAAAGUAGGCAGACAUGGAGCUAUUGCUCAGCGUGUUUAUUCCAGCCGGCACGUUAAUACACUGACCCACAACAUCCGGAUUCCCAUCUUGCAUUGCUUCAAAACUACGGCAAGUAAUGUCCAAAAAACGAUAGUGACAGAGAAUAGAACAAGGAUGGACAAUUUAACCCUAAACUCACUCCUUUCCUGCGAAUUAAAUUUCACAGAUGCUGCCCAUACCUAUGCUCCUUAAAAGGCUGUGCUACUGGCUGCAAAGCAUUGCACUUUCAAAUACAUCAAUGAGUAGAGGAGUGUUAUGUGUGUGUGUGUGUGUGUGUGUGUGUGU